rnacentral:rRNA from 1 species
AACGAACGCUGGCGGCAUGCCUAACACAUGCAAGUCGAACGAGACCUUCGGGUCUAGUGGCGCACGGGUGCGUAACGCGUGGGAACCUGCCCUUAGGUUCGGAAUAACUCCCCGAAAGGGGUGCUAAUACCGGAUAAUGUCAUCGGACCAAAGAUUUAUCGCCUUUGGAUGGGCCCGCGUUGGAUUAGCUAGUUGGUAGGGUAAAAGCCUACCAAGGCGACGAUCCAUAGCUGGUCUGAGAGGAUGAUCAGCCACACUGGGACUGAGACACGGCCCAGACUCCUACGGAAGGCAGCAGUAGGGAAUAUUGGACAAUGGGCGAGAGCCUGAUCCAGCAAUGCCGCGUGAGUGAUGAAGGCCUUAGGGUUGAAAAGCUCUUUUACCCGGGAUGAUAAUGACAGUACCGGGAGAAUAAGCUCCGGCUAACUCCGUG